rnacentral:rRNA from 1 species
AUUGAACGCUGGCGGCAUGCUUUACACAUGCAAGUCGAACGGUAACAGGCCUUCGGGUGCUGACGAGUGGCGAACGGGUGAGUAGUGCAUCGGAACGUGCCCAGAGGUGGGGGAUAACGCAGCGAAAGCUGUGCUAAUACCGCAUGUGAUCUGAGGAUGAAAGCGGGGGACCAGGCAGCAAUGUUUGGCCUCGCGCCUUUGGAGCGGCCGAUGUCAGAUUAGGUAGUUGGUGGGGUAAAGGCCUACCAAGCCGACGAUCUGUAGCUGGUCUGAGAGGACGACCAGCCACACUGGGACUGAGACACGGCCCAGACUCCUACGGGAGGCAGCAGUGGGGAAUUUUGGACAAUGGGCGCAAGCCUGAUCCAGCAAUGCCGCGUGCGGGAAGAAGGCCUUCGGGUUGUAAACCGCUUUUGUACGGAACGAAAAGGCUCUGGCUAAUACCUGGGGCUGAUGACGGUACCGUAAGAAUAAGCACCGGCUAACUACGU